rnacentral:tRNA from 1 species
GCGGGUGUGGCGGAAUUGGUAGACGCACUGGAUUUAGGUUCCAGCGCCGCAAGGCGUGGAGGUUCGAGUCCUCUCGCCCGCACCA